UGGUCAAGUUAUUAAGGGUGCAGGGCGGAUGCCUUGGCACUAGGAGCCGAUGAAGGACGUGAUAAGCUGCGAUAAGCUUCGGGGAGUUGCACGUAAACUUUGAUCCGAAGAUUUCCGAAUGAGGAAACUCACUUAGAGUAAUGUCUAAGUAUCAUUAAGUGAAUACAUAGCUUAAAUGAGGGGGAACUCAGGGAACUGAAACAUCUAAGUACCUGAAGGAAGAGAAAGAAAUUCGAUUCCGUAAGAUAGCGGCGAGCGAACGCGGAUUAGCCCAAA
rnacentral:rRNA from 1 species